rnacentral:rRNA from 1 species
UACGUAGGGGGCUAGCGUUGUCCGGAAUCAUUGGGCGUAAAGCGCGUGUAGGCGGUCCGGUAAGUCCGCUGUGAAAGUCGGGGGCUCAACCCCCGGAUGCCGGUGGAUACUGUCGGGCUUGAGUACGGAAGAGGCGAGUGGAAUUCCUGGUGUAGCGGUGAAAUGCGCAGAUAUCAGGAGGAACACCAAUUGCGAAGGCAGCUCGCUGGGACGUUACUGACGCUGAGACGCGAAGGCGUGGGGAGGCGAACAGG